rnacentral:rRNA from 1 species
GACGAACGCUGGCGGCGUGCUUAACACAUGCAAGUCGAACGAAGUGGCGAACGGGUGAGUAACGCGUAAUCAACCUGCCCUUCAGAGGGGGACAACAGUUGGAAACGACUGCUAAUACCGCAUACUGAAGGAGGGGAUUGCGUCUGAUUAGCUAGUUGGAGGGGUAACGGCCCACCAAGGCGAUGAUCAGUAGCCGGUCUUGGGGGAGGGACGGCCAAAAUGGGACUGGGACACGGCCCAGACUCCUACGGGGGGCAGCAGGGGGGAAUCUUCCGCAAUGGACGGAAGUCUGACGGAGCAACGGCGCGUGGGUGAUGACGGGCUUCGGGUUGUAAAGCUCUGUUAAUCGGGGCGCGGUACCGGAAUAGAAAGCCACGGCUAACUACGUGCCAGCAGCCGCGGUAAUAC